UGGGUUGGCCAAAAAAUUCCUCUGGGUUUGUUCAGAAGAUGUUACAGGAAAAACAGAGUGAACUUUUUGGCCAAACUCAUAU
rnacentral:miRNA from 1 species